GAUGAAGAACGUAGCGAAAUGCGAUAAGUAAUGUGAAUUGCAGAAUUCAGUGAAUCAUCGAAUCUUUGAACGCACAUUGCGCCCCUUGGUAUUCCGAGGGGCAUGCCUGUUCGAGCGUCAUUAUAACCCCUCAAGCUCAGCUUGGUGUUGGGGCCUGCUGCACUGGCAGCCCUUAAAAUCAGUGGCGGCGCCAUCUGGCUCUAAGCGUAGUAAUUCUUCUCGCUAUGGAGUCCUGGUGGAUGCUUGCCAUCAACCCCCAAUUUUUCUAUGGUUGACCUCGGCUCAGGUAGGGAUACCCGCUGCACUUAAGCAUACCAAUCAGCGGAGGA
rnacentral:misc_RNA from 1 species